rnacentral:rRNA from 1 species
UACGUAGGUCCCGAGCGUUGUCCGGAUUUAUUGGGCGUAAAGCGAGCGCAGGUGGUUUAUUAAGUCUGGUGUAAAAGGCAGUGGCUCAACCAUUGUAUGCAUUGGAAACUGGUAGACUUGAGUGCAGGAGAGGAGAGUGGAAUUCCAUGUGUAGCGGUGAAAUGCGUAGAUAUAUGGAGGAACACCGGUGGCGAAAGCGGCUCUCUGGCCUGUAACUGACACUGAGGUACAAAAGCGUGGGGAGCAAACAGG